AAUGAACGUUGGCGGCGUGGAUUAGACAUGCAAGUCGAGCGAGAACCGUAGCAAUACGGGGACAGCGGCGAAAGGGACAGUAAUGUGUAGGUACCUACCCCCGGGUUCGGGAUAGCUGCGGGAAACUGCAGGUAAUACCGAAUAAUGUCUUCGGACCAAAGGUGUGAUUCCACCUGGGGAGGGGCCUGCAUCCUAUUAGCUUGUUGGGGGGGUAACGGCUUACCAAGGCGACGAUGGGUAGCGGGUGUGAGAGCAUGACCCGCGUCAUUGGGAAUGCGACGCUGCCCAGAAACCGACGGGUGGCUGCAGUCGAGGAUCUGCGGCAAUGGGCGCAAGCCUGACCGAGCGACGCCGCGUGCGGGAUGAAGGCCUUCGGGUUGUAAACCGCUGUCGUAGAGGAGGAAAUGCAGGAGGGUUCUCCCUUCUGUUUGACCUAUUCUAGGAGGAAGUACGGGCUAAGUUCGUGCCAGCAGCCGCAGUAA
rnacentral:rRNA from 1 species